GAAACUUUGCAGUGUGAAAACACCCUUGAGUAUAACUAGGGAUGGGCCCUAGGUAGAUGGGCGGCUUUAAAAAGUUGAGUGCAAAAAAGGUUUAACAGAUACUCAUUGAUAUGAUUGAUUCCCAUCCCUUGCUUCAAGAAGUGGGUUCCAUGGCAUUUUGCAUGUGUGCUGUUUGCCCAGCAAAGUUUUGAGACAUGGAUAUGGGAUUGCACGUGGCACCAGCUUCAGCUUCAUUAUGAACCAGACAUCAAGUCUGGCAAGCUUUGGUGGAUAUCGUGAAGAUUUUAGCGGAAUCGUGAAGAUUCUACAGAGAGGUAACGACCAUCUUUGCCGAGCAAUAUCAACUGAUCAAUGAGUUUUCGUCUCUUAGUAACAUAAACCAACAGAAGAACCUUUCCCAACAUCUGCAUUUUAAUUUCUAGGGAAAUUACAUUUACUUGCAUGACCCACAUUCCCACUGACUAGUGUUACCAUGAUUCUCUGUUCUCGUUACUCAGACAUUAGAAACUACUUCCAAUA